UGUGCGGUCAAAAUGACCGUUGAUUAAAGAAGUAAUAUUUUUUAUGAUUUAACUUAGAUAAUGGUUAAUUUAUAACUAAAUGUAUAUAAAAUGAUGAACUUUCAUAAAAUUUCAUCCAAAUUUACUUUUGUUUAAUUUCAAUUAUAGACUUAUAGAUAUAUCUUAUUCAAUUUUGCUGCAUUUUUUACAAAUUAUCUUAUUAUCAAAUGUACAUUUGCCGCAUAAAUAUUUUCCGCAUCUUAAACAAAUUUUCGUAAUUUUGAAACCUUUACAACUUUUUACUUGACAAGUUUUUUGUAGUAA
rnacentral:misc_RNA from 1 species